UUGAUGUUUCAGUUCGAGCCACCAAUUGUCUUCGUUUCGUGAUUCUGACGCAGCGUACAAACUACCAUUGGGAUGUAUGUUAUUAUGAAACAGGCGAAUGAGUAAUAAAUGAGUAAACCGGUGAGAACAGCCGAGCAAAUGGUAGAAAAGAAGUUUACUCAUCAGGUAGGAAGAAAAUGGGAGACGAAAAGGUCAAGCUAUGUCAACACUUUUUCUCCACGUUAUGCGAUCUGUACUUUGCCCAAGAAUGAUCAACAGGCCGUCUUCAGAGUCUCUUUUUCAACUGCCAGUCGGAGUUCCUUUAUGCGAUAACAAUACCCUUAAUAGCGUAAAAAAUAGACUUAGAUAAUUCGACAGUAGUUUGCAUGACGAACUCGCUAAGAGAAUACAAUGUUCCAUCGCUAUUGUCUCUACGAUUCGUACGUGACACCGCGGCAGUUUGACCUCUGAAUACAAUUCUGCCGCUGUGAUUUCCGAACGAAUAGUUGUUUUCAUUUAAAAGAGACCAAUAGGACAAUGAAUCAUAAUGUACAUUAUGCUUCGAUUUCGAAACAUUGCAUAUGAUGACCCUGUUAUUUUCCGGCGACUGUGUUUGAUUGUUCCACGAUUAUUUUUAUAAAAGCGGCUGGCAUAAUGUUUCAUUUCAUAGAACCAGCAGGUUUAAUUUAUCAGCGUUCCAAUUCUCAUUGAUACGAUGGCAAAUGUCAGUUCGUUUAUACGCAGGUUUCAUGAUUGUUUAUCGACAAUUUCAUGAUUUUUUAUACAUACAUGUGUUAUCCGUUCGAAAAUGAAACGAAUAAUACGUAUUUAGGAAGAACCAUUACAUCAUUAUGAUUUCGCGAUGAAAGCAAUUGGAGGUCAUCUACUGAUACGGUAGAGAAGCAGAGAUAAUAGUUUUUUUUCCCCGAACAAUCUGCAUCGCAAAUGAUCGACGAUGUCUGUUUGUUUCGCAUUGGGAAACAGUGUUAUGCUUUGCAAUUUGCGCGAAGGAAAAUGGUCAAAACGCGAUAGGCUGGUCGACCGGUUGAUAUUGCUGCUUUUAUUUAUCAAUGAAAAUUAUAGCUCGUUAACGAAGACGAGCGUGUCAGUCGAGUUGGUAUCGCAGUGUACGGUAAAAAUAGCGAUUAGCGAUUGCGUCCGCGAUAAAUCAUGAUAAAAGGUGCUAUGUAGUGGCGUGAAAGAGCUUUCGCUGCCUCGUAGACGCAAUGUAACACCACUAACGUUGCUUCUUUUUUUGGCUCACGCCGACUACAGAUAAUAAGUUCGAUUUAUGUUCACUUCGAUGUAUCGUCGAUAAGGCUCUGCGUAAUUAAAGCCUUCUAUUUCGAAAUAAUCUUGAUUGGCGUACACCAGCCUUUUCCGCCGUACUCGAACUCGUUUUCAAACGGCGUUUAUGCUUCAGUAAUUUCAAUCAUAUUUUCCAGAUUAUAUACCUUGUUCCAAAUACCCGCCUAAUUGUGCGAAACAAAUCGUAUUUUCGGCCAAAAUAUUUGUAUAUUUCUAACUUAAUUAUGAAAUGCUAUGUCUCAAUUAUUUUUAUUUUAAUCGCUUCUAAGAAUAGCUCUUCGUUAUUCGUACUUUUUGAUAAUCCCCUAACAUGGACAGAUCAAGAUUAUUCAAAAGCAGAUUUCAGUUUGUUUGAAAUGGAUAUUACAUUAACCCAUUAAAGACCAGUGGUGCAUUAAGACUACAUUUCAUAGGCGAUCUCUUUUCCAACCAAUUUACAUCAUUGAAUUGAAUUUUUUAACAUUGCGGUUACCAGAAGGAAUUCCAAGGAUUUGUUUAAUAUUAUUUAGCGUAAUAUAAUGUAAUAUUAAUUAAAUAAUUAACGCCGUUUCUUCCUUCCAUCUAGAUUUAUCCUUUUAUAAAGUUUAAAGAAAUUGAAAUACUUAUAGCAUUAUGAUAAAUUACACUUUCUUAUAUAAUGAAAUUUUAUUGUGGUCUUUAAUUUAUACAGUGGAACUCUGUAAACAUCUGUUAUUCUAAUAACAGUAUAAUAUCUUGUAUUUUAACAAAACCAUAUGUUGACUAUCUUAUUUACAAUUUUUAUUAAUACUAUGUUUACACAUCUGUUAUGCAUUGUUUCGCAGCUUGGCCCUUAAUAGGUUAAUAAAAUCAUAUUGUUCAACAA